CCUGCCUGGUCUCACAGAGCCCCUGUCUCGGCAGUCUCCCUAAUGCAAACGUAUAUGAACUGCUCAGUAAUGGGGAUCGCUGUGAACCUGGGCGCUUGCAUUUCCUCUAAACGGAGAGACGGACGAAUAACCGACUCGACAUCGGUAAAGUGUGCUAUUUAAAAACUGGAGCACUGCGUUCGUUUGUCAUAUUUGUGUUUAUAACCGUCUUUAUUUAUUCUCAAAACGUUGCUGCCGGUCUUCAAAAUAUAGCCCGAUUAGGAAGUUCUCGUCAAGAAGAGCAGGAUAAUCGCACAUCAAGUCUAGUUCAAUCUUUCUCCAGACCGAUUGAAUAGCCGAUUUGAAGACUCCGAAGGAUUUCUUUAUCUAUUGGCCACUACGUCCAUGUCUUUGAAGACGGAUUAUCCAAACCAUUCAACAAGUGGAUGCUCAUUGUUUUACCUCAAAUCUGCAAGUCAUCUGCUCUCAAGUCUUCCUCCUGCGUCUGUUUGAUGUAUCUCUCUGCUCGGAAUCCAUUUGGCAAGAUUGAUAGAUUAAUACGGUGAAUCUCAGACAAAAAUAAGCUGCUCAUGUCGAUAAGGGAUUGAUGAAUCGCUCCAAGCAGAAACGUGACAGAAGAACCCACCAUAACAGGACCAAGUAGCAUGAAAAGGAGGAGCAGCGUUUAAUGGGGAAAUGGACAUGGGAGGAGAUACUAGAUGGAAUGGGACCCUGGACGCAGCCGGGGGAGUAUCGCCGUCCUAAGAGGCAGCGAAAGCGGAACGGUGAUACUACGAGGAGAAAUACCGGAGAAUGGAGGAACGGCAACGAUAUGCCCGAGAGGCAUCCCCAAUAACUUUUUUGGGGGGCACACGAGGAGAUUGCAUGAGUCAGGUUGGAGACCUGAGCCAACUCCUCGUGCUUACUGUGGGGAGCGUGUGACUGGUCAGGCACCGUGUUAUUCAGAAUGGGCAUCCAGCCAGGAAGGAAGGUUCCGGUUCAGCGCUCCUGGUCUCCGGUAUACCUCCUUGGACCAGGAUAUCCUGUGCCGCCUCUGCACACUGUCUCUGCGCGAUGAGUCUGCACAGCCCAGUGCGUCCUGUGGCAGCGCCCUGCAUAUGCAGGGUGAAAAUAAACAUCCAGCCAGGACGGGUUGUGUCAGCUCUACACUCCAGACCUCCAGUGCGCCUCCAGAGUCCAGUACGUCCUGUUCCUCCUCCCCGCACUUGCCCCGAGGUGCGUGUCCCCACCCUGGUACCACCAGUGCUGGCACCACGCACCGAUCAGGCCUACAACCAUGGUGUUGUCAGCAAACGUGAUGAUGAAGAUAGUGUCGUGCAAAGCAAUGCAGUCGUGGGUGCACAUGGAGUACAGCAGAGGGCUGAGGACACCGUUUGAAUAGGACCCUUGAUUAUCUAUCUGGUCCUUGAAUCCUGACAGCACCCAUCAAGAACAACAUAGACAAGCAAUAUUUUUUGUAUCUGAAGUAUAUCCGCCCAACUCCUAUACCAAGGACAGGUGAACGUGUAUAAUGAUCUAUCUAAUCUAGUCUGAAUACAUCUAGAUGAAUAGCUAAAUGAGGUGAGUUGAAAGGCUGGCCUUGUAAUUAAAACAACCAAUUGAACCAGUCUAGCAUAAAUACUUCACCCCCACAGUAUUUUUAGGUACGAAAUACUUUGAUUUGAUUAAUUAGGAUCCCCAUUAGCCGUCUUACUGGGGUCCGACUGUCACGCCCUGGUCUUAGUUUUUGUGUUUUCUUUAUCUAUUUGGUCAGGCCAGGGUGUGACAUGGGUUUUUGUAUGUGGUGUGUUUUGUCUUGGGUUUUUUUCACAGGUAUUGGGAUUGUAGCUUAGUGGGGUUUUCUAGGUUAGUCUAUGGCUGUCUGAAGUUGUUCUCAAUCUGAGGCAGGUGUUUAUCGUUGUCUCUGAUUGGAAACCAUAUUUAGGCAGCCAUAUUCUUUGAGUGUUUCGUGGGUGAUUGUCCUUGUUCCUGUUCUGUGUUAGUUUACACCAGU